AGAGAGCUAGCGAGGGAGGGCGUGAGCCAGAGAGCCAGCGAGGAGAAGGGCGGCCACUCGUGCCUGAGCGGCCGCGGACGGGAGUGGGGAAGCUGGGGGAGGAGGUGCAGGGAAGGAAGGACGAAGACCGAGAGGACAGGGCGGCCCACGGCCGGCAGAGGUGGCAAGGGGAGAAGGAGGAGCUGUAGGAGGGCAGGGGCUGAAGGAGUGAGUGAGAGAAGCGGACGCGCCAGGGAGGGGAGGGAAGGGGGGUCACGCGGGGGGCGCACGCGGGGGCGCGCACGUGCAAUGGGAGCGCGCUCGGAGGCGCGUGGAACUGGAUCGGGUUUGCUGCCAGCGGCGUGAUCUUCGGCUGCCUUUUUACCACAGCUCCACUCGUACGGACACAGGAAGCAGCCAGCACGCGUUCCCCGCGACCCGACCCGGUCGGACAGGAUUCCUUGGCCCCAGCUUCUCGGGGAGAUCUCUGGAAACAUGGCUACAGAACAUGUUAAUGGAAAUGGUACUGAAGAGCCCAUGGAUACUACUUCAGCAGUUAUCCAUUCAGAAAAUUUUCAGACAUUGCUUGAUGCUGGUUUACCACAGAAAGUUGCUGAAAAACUAGAUGAAAUUUACGUUGCAGGGCUAGUUGCACAUAGUGAUUUAGAGGAGAUAGCUAUCAUAGAAGCUUUAAGAGAGUUCAAUGAAGACGGCUCAUUGGCAGUGCUUCAACAGUUCAAAGACAGUGCUCUCUCUCAUGUUCAGAACAAAAGUGCCUUUUUAUGUGGAGUCAUGAAGACUUACAGGCAGAGAGAGAAACAAGGGACCAAAGUAGCAGACUCUAGUAAAGGACCAGAUGAGGCGAAGAUUAAGGCACUUUUGGAAAGAACAGGCUACACUCUUGAUGUGACUACAGGUCAGAGGAAGUAUGGGGGACCACCUCCAGAUUCUGUUUAUUCAGGUCAGCAGCCUUCUGUUGGCACUGAGAUAUUUGUGGGGAAGACCCCAGAGAUCUGUUUGAAGAUGAGCUUGUUCCAUUAUUUGAGAAAGCUGGACCUAUAUGGGAUCUUCGUUUAAUGAUGGAUCCACAUACUGGUCUCAACAGUUUAUGCAUUUGUCACUUUUUGUACAAAAGAAGUAGCACAAGAGGCUGAAACGAAUCAUGAAAUUCGUUCUGGGAAGCAUAUUGGUGUCUGCAUCUCCGUUGCCAAGUAAAACCAAGUAACAGAUUCUUGAAGAAUUUAGUAAAGUGACAGAGGGUCUCACAGAUGUCAUUUUAUACCACCAACCUGAUGACAAGAAAAAAAACAGAGGCUUUUGCUUUCUUGAAUAUGAAGAUCAUAAAACAGCUGCCCAGGCAAGGCGUAGGCUAAUGAGUGGUAAAGUUAAAGUCUGGGGAAAUGUUGGAACUGUUGAAUGGGCUGAUCCUAUUGAAGAUCCUGAUCCUGAAGUUACAGCAAAGGUAAAAGUGCUGUUUGUACGCAACCUUGCCAACACUAACAGAAGAGAGAGAUGGUGCUAUCAAGGAAGAAAUUAUGGAAGAAAUGAAUGGUAAAGACUUGGAGGAGAAAAUAUUGAAAUUGUUUUUUGCUAAGCCACCAGAUAAGAAAAGAGGAAAGAAGGGGAAGUAA